GCGGCGAGUCGGGCCCGCACCGCCCCCGCCUAGACCCCGACCCCAGCCCCUGCCCCGACCCCAGCCUCGGCGCCAUUCCCUAGCCAGCCCAUGCCCCUGACCCGGGGCCUCCCCGCCCGCCAGUGCGCUGGAUCCCGAGACGGCGGGACGCGAAGAGCCUUUGUGGACGUGGGAAGCGUUUCAGUGUUUGGUUCUGCGUGGGGAGUCCCACGUUACUCGAUGACUUUCGGCCGCGAAGGCUUUGAAUGGUGCGUUUGAAAAUACGGAAACUUUCUUCUACUCUAGGUGGCCAUGGCUACCGGGCAGGUGUUGUUCCAGCGGUUCUUUUAUACCAAGUCCUUCGUGAAGCACUCCAUGGAGCAUGUGUCAAUGGCCUGUGUCCACCUGGCUUCCAAGAUAGAAGAGGCCCCAAGACGCAUACGGGACGUCAUCAAUGUGUUUCACCGCCUUCGACAGCUGAGAGACAAAAAGAAGCCCGUGCCUCUACUACUGGAUCAAGAUUAUGUUAAUUUAAAGAACCAAAUUAUAAAGGCGGAAAGACGAGUUCU
rnacentral:lncRNA from 1 species